GACGAACGCUGGCGGCGUGCUUAACACAUGCAAGUCGAACGGAAAGGUCCUGCUUUUGUGGGGUGCUCGAGUGGCGAGCGGGUGAGUAACACGUGAGUAACCUGCCCCUGACUUUGGGAUAACUUCAGGAAACUGGGGCUAAUACCGGAUAGGAGCUCCUGCUGCAUGGUGGGGGUUGGAAAGUUUCGGCGGUUGGGGAUGGACUCGCGGCUUAUCAGCUUGUUGGUGGGGUAGUGGCUUACCAAGGCCUUGACGGGUAGCCGGCCUGAGAGGGUGACCGGCCACAUUGGGACUGAAAUACGGCCCAGACUCCAACGGGAGGCAACAGAGGGGAAGAUUGCACAAUGGGCGGAGGCCUGAUGCAGCAACGCCGCGUGCGGGAUGACGGCCUUCGGGUUGUAAACCACUUUCGCCUGUGACGAGACGUGAGUGACGGUAAUGGGUAAAGAAGCACCGGCUAACUACGUG
rnacentral:rRNA from 1 species